AGCGUACACGGUGGAUGCCCUGGCAGUCAGAGGCGAUGAAGGACGUGCUAAUCUGCGAUAAGCGUCGGUAAGGUGAUAUGAACCGUUAUAACCGGCGAUUUCCGAAUGGGGAAACCCAGUGUGAUUCGUCACACUAUCAUUAACUGAAUCCAUAGGUUAAUGAGGCGAACCGGGGGAACUGAAACAUCUAAGUACCCCGAGGAAAAGAAAUCAACCGAGAUUCCCCCAGUAGCGGCGAGCGAACGGGGAGCAGCCCAGAGCCUGAAUCAGUGUGUGUGUUAGUGGAAGCGUCUGGAAAGGCGCGCGAUACAGGGUGACAGCCCCGUACACAAAAAUGCACAUACUGUGAGCUCGAUGAGUAGGGCGGGACACGUGGUAUCCUGUCUGAAUAUGGGGGGACCAUCCUCCAAGGCUAAAUACUCCUGACUGACCGAUAGUGAACCAGUACCGUGAGGGAAAGGCGAAAAGAACCCCGGCGAGGGGAGUGAAAAAGAACCUGAAACCGUGUACGUACAAGCAGUGGGAGCACGCUUAGGCGUGUGACUGCGUACCUUUUGUAUAAUGGGUCAGCGACUUAUAUUCUGUAGCAAGGUUAACCGAAUAGGGGAGCCGAAGGGAAACCGAGUCUUAACUGGGCGUUAAGUUGCAGGGUAUAGACCCGAAACCCGGUGAUCUAGCCAUGGGCAGGUUGAAGGUUGGGUAACACUAACUGGAGGACCGAACCGACUAAUGUUGAAAAAUUAGCGGAUGACUUGUGGCUGGGGGUGAAAGGCCAAUCAAACCGGGAGAUAGCUGGUUCUCCCCGAAAGCUAUUUAGGUAGCGCCUCGUGAAUUCAUCUCCGGGGGUAGAGCACUGUUUCGGCAAGGGGGUCAUCCCGACUUACCAACCCGAUGCAAACUGCGAAUACCGGAGAAUGUUAUCACGGGAGACACACGGCGGGUGCUAACGUCCGUCGUGAAGAGGGAAACAACCCAGACCGCCAGCUAAGGUCCCAAAGUCAUGGUUAAGUGGGAAACGAUGUGGGAAGGCCCAGACAGCCAGGAUGUUGGCUUAGAAGCAGCCAUCAUUUAAAGAAAGCGUAAUAGCUCACUGGUCGAGUCGGCCUGCGCGGAAGAUGUAACGGGGCUAAACCAUGCACCGAAGCUGCGGCAGCGACGCUUAUGCGUUGUUGGGUAGGGGAGCGUUCUGUAAGCCUGCGAAGGUGUGCUGUGAGGCAUGCUGGAGGUAUCAGAAGUGCGAAUGCUGACAUAAGUAACGAUAAAGCGGGUGAAAAGCCCGCUCGCCGGAAGACCAAGGGUUCCUGUCCAACGUUAAUCGGGGCAGGGUGAGUCGACCCCUAAGGCGAGGCCGAAAGGCGUAGUCGAUGGGAAACAGGUUAAUAUUCCUGUACUUGGUGUUACUGCGAAGGGGGGACGGAGAAGGCUAUGUUGGCCGGGCGACGGUUGUCCCGGUUUAAGCGUGUAGGCUGGUUUUCCAGGCAAAUCCGGAAAAUCAAGGCUGAGGCGUGAUGACGAGGCACUACGGUGCUGAAGCAACAAAUGCCCUGCUUCCAGGAAAAGCCUCUAAGCAUCAGGUAACAUCAAAUCGUACCCCAAACCGACACAGGUGGUCAGGUAGAGAAUACCAAGGCGCUUGAGAGAACUCGGGUGAAGGAACUAGGCAAAAUGGUGCCGUAACUUCGGGAGAAGGCACGCUGAUAUGUAGGUGAAGUCCCUCGCGGAUGGAGCUGAAAUCAGUCGAAGAUACCAGCUGGCUGCAACUGUUUAUUAAAAACACAGCACUGUGCAAACACGAAAGUGGACGUAUACGGUGUGACGCCUGCCCGGUGCCGGAAGGUUAAUUGAUGGGGUUAGCGCAAGCGAAGCUCUUGAUCGAAGCCCCGGUAAACGGCGGCCGUAACUAUAACGGUCCUAAGGUAGCGAAAUUCCUUGUCGGGUAAGUUCCGACCUGCACGAAUGGCGUAAUGAUGGCCAGGCUGUCUCCACCCGAGACUCAGUGAAAUUGAACUCGCUGUGAAGAUGCAGUGUACCCGCGGCAAGACGGAAAGACCCCGUGAACCUUUACUAUAGCUUGACACUGAACAUUGAGCCUUGAUGUGUAGGAUAGGUGGGAGGCUUUGAAGUGUGGACGCCAGUCUGCAUGGAGCCGACCUUGAAAUACCACCCUUUAAUGUUUGAUGUUCUAACGUUGACCCGUAAUCCGGGUUGCGGACAGUGUCUGGUGGGUAGUUUGACUGGGGCGGUCUCCUCCUAAAGAGUAACGGAGGAGCACGAAGGUUGGCUAAUCCUGGUCGGACAUCAGGAGGUUAGUGCAAUGGCAUAAGCCAGCUUGACUGCGAGCGUGACGGCGCGAGCAGGUGCGAAAGCAGGUCAUAGUGAUCCGGUGGUUCUGAAUGGAAGGGCCAUCGCUCAACGGAUAAAAGGUACUCCGGGGAUAACAGGCUGAUACCGCCCAAGAGUUCAUAUCGACGGCGGUGUUUGGCACCUCGAUGUCGGCUCAUCACAUCCUGGGGCUGAAGUAGGUCCCAAGGGUAUGGCUGUUCGCCAUUUAAAGUGGUACGCGAGCUGGGUUUAGAACGUCGUGAGACAGUUCGGUCCCUAUCUGCCGUGGGCGCUGGAGAACUGAGGGGGGCUGCUCCUAGUACGAGAGGACCGGAGUGGACGCAUCACUGGUGUUCGGGUUGUCAUGCCAAUGGCACUGCCCGGUAGCUAAAUGCGGAAGAGAUAAGUGCUGAAAGCAUCUAAGCACGAAACUUGCCCCGAGAUGAGUUCUCCCUGACUCCUUGA
rnacentral:rRNA from 1 species